rnacentral:rRNA from 1 species
UAACACAUGCAAGUCGAGGGGCAUCAGGAAGAAAGCUUGCUUUCUUUGCUGGCGACCGGCGCACGGGUGAGUAACACGUAUCCAACCUGCCCUUUACUCGGGGAUAGCCUUUCGAAAGAAAGAUUAAUACCCGAUGGCAUAAUGAUUCCGCAUGGUUUCAUUAUUAAAGGAUUCCGGUAAAGGAUGGGGAUGCGUUCCAUUAGGUUGUUGGUGAGGUAACGGCUCACCAAGCCUUCGAUGGAUAGGGGUUCUGAGAGGAAGGUCCCCCACAUUGGAACUGAGACACGGUCCAAACUCCUACGGGAGGCAGCAGUGAGGAAUAUUGGUCAAUGGGCGCUAGCCUGAACCAGCCAAGUAGCGUGAAGGAUGAAGGCUCUAUGGGUCGUAAACUUCUUUUAUAUAAGAAUAAAGUGCAGUAUGUAUACUGUUUUGUAUGUAUUAUAUGAAUAAGGAUCGGCUAACUCCGUGCCAGCAGCCGCGGUAAUACGGAGGAUCCGAGCGUUAUCCGGAUUUAUUGGGUUUAAAGGGAGCGUAGGUGGACUGGUAAGUCAGUUGUGAAAGUUUGCGGCUCAACCGUAAAAUUGCAGUUGAUACUGUCAGUCUUGAGUACAGUAGAGGUGGGCGGAAUUCGUGGUGUAGCGGUGAAAUGCUUAGAUAUCACGAAGAACUCCGAUUGCGAAGGCAGCUCACUGGACUGCAACUGACACUGAUGCUCGAAAGUGUGGGUAUCAAACAGGAUUAGAUACCCUGGUAGUCCACACAGUAAACGAUGAAUACUCGCUGUUUGCGAUAUACAGUAAGCGGCCAAGCGAAAGCAUUAAGUAUUCCACCUGGGGAGUACGCCGGCAACGGUGAAACUCAAAGGAAUUGACGGGGGCCCGCACAAGCGGAGGAACAUGUGGUUUAAUUCGAUGAUACGCGAGGAACCUUACCCGGGCUUAAAUUGCAGUGGAAUGAUGUGGAAACAUGUCAGUGAGCAAUCACCGCUGUGAAGGUGCUGCAUGGUUGUCGUCAGCUCGUGCCGUGAGGUGUCGGCUUAAGUGCCAUAACGAGCGCAACCCUUAUCUUUAGUUACUAACAGGUUAUGCUGAGGACUCUAGAGAGACUGCCGUCGUAAGAUGUGAGGAAGGUGGGGAUGACGUCAAAUCAGCACGGCCCUUACGUCCGGGGCUACACACGUGUUACAAUGGGGGGUACAGAAGGCAGCUAGCGGGUGACCGUAUGCUAAUCCCAAAAGCCUCUCUCAGUUCGGAUCGAAGUCUGCAACCCGACUUCGUGAAGCUGGAUUCGCUAGUAAUCGCGCAUCAGCCACGGCGCGGUGAAUACGUUCCCGGGCCUUGUACACACCGCCCGUCAAGCCAUGAAAGCCGGGGGUACCUGAAGUGCGUAACCGCAAGGAGCGCCCUAGGGUAAAACUGGUGAUUGGGGCUAAGUC